rnacentral:rRNA from 1 species
AUGGAACCAUUGAUCGCUACAAAGCCAGACUUGUUGCAAAGGGCUUUAAACAACGGUACGGCAUUGACUAUGAGGACGCCAUUAGUCCAGUUGUUAAAGCUGCAACCAUUCGUCUUGUGCUCCUAUUGUUGUUUCCAGGGGAUGGAGCCUUCGACAGCUAGAUGUAGAGAAUGCGUUCCUGCAUGGCUGGAAGAGGAAGUGUAUAUGAAACAACCUCCUGGUUUUGAGAACAAGAACAAACCCUUUCAUAUGUGCAAGCUUGAUAAAGCAUUAUAUGGACUCAAACAAGCUCCCAGGGCGUGGUACUCCAGACUAAGUCACAAAUUGCAAACUCUUGGCUUUGUUCCUUCUAAGUCUGACACAUCCUUGUUUAUUUACAACAAGUUGAAAACAUCCAUAUUCGUUCUUAUAUAUGUUGAUGAUAUUAUUGUCACAAGCUCAUCUAAUGAGGCUAUAUCAGGACUGUUGAAGGAUUUAAAUGCUGAGUUUGCUCUCAAGGAUCUGGGUGACUUGCAUUUCUUCCUAGGGAUUGAAGUCAAGAAACAAGGCAACAGUCUUCAUCUCUCUCAGGAAAAGUAUGCCACUGAUCUGGUAAGAAGAGUUGGGUUACAGGGAUGUAAAUCUUCACCAACUCCACUGUCCAGCAUAGAAAAAUUGUCACUUACAGAAGGAAAGCCCUUGGGUCAAGAUGACAGUACCAGGUACAGAAGCUUGGUAGGUGCACUUCAGUAUCCAACCUUGACAAGACCUGAUCUUUCAUUUGCAGUAAACAAGGUUUGUCAGUUUCUUCAUGCACCCACUACAACACAUUGGACAGCUGCUAAACGUAUAGUGAGAUAUGUGAAAGAUACAAUUAAUCUUGGCCUCACUUUCAACAAGUCUUCAUCUACACUUGUUAGUGCAUUUUCUGAUUCUGACUGGGCAGGAUGUUUAGAUGAUAGACGAUCUACUAGUGGUUUUGCAGUAUUCUUUGGUCCAAACUUAAUAUCAUGGUGUGCAAAGAAACAAGCCACUGUAUCAAGGUCCAGUACUGAAGCUGAGUACAAAGCCUUGGCAAAUGCCACAGCUGAAAUUAUUUGGGUUCAGCCCAUGCUACGAGAGCUUGGUGUGAAGACUACUCAAGCUCCAUGUUUAUGGUGUGAUAAUCUUGGUGCUACUUAUCUGUCUGCUAACCCUGUCUUUCAUGCAAGGACAAAACAUAUUGAGAUUGAUUUCCACUUUGUUUGA